UAGGCAACUAAAAACUAUUUCCAAAUCAGACCUGGUGAAGCAAGGCCAUCUCUACAUAUUGCACACCAAAAAUCAGAUAGUUGUGUUCAAUUAGAAGAUCAAGAUGUGUCUGGAGUUGUCAUUGGUGAAGUCCAAAGAACGGAUAGUUGUGUUCAAUUAGAAGAUCAAGAUGUGUCUGGAGUUGUCAUUGGUGAAGACCAAAGAACAGGU